rnacentral:lncRNA from 1 species
GGCUGAUCUAAAAUUUUUCCCUUUGAGCUAGAGCACUGAAUUCCCUGAACAGGUUUUUCUUCUCUGGAUGAGUUUCAAAGCAGAUUCAUUAUCAGAUAACUGUCAGGAUCACUUUAAGUGCUAUUAAAUGGAAGUGAACGGAGGACUAUGGAAGAACUAGAUCAGCUAUUCAAAUUAUCUUGGAAGAAGCGUGGUGUUGGAUAUUACACUAGCAAAGAAAUGUGCAAAUAAGGUUACAAGUGGAUUGCUUACUGAUGGGAUACCAUAUGAAAGCUCCACGAGACGAAGGU